UGACAAUCACUUCCGUUGCAUAUAUAUACAUAUACAUGUGUGUAUAUAUAUAUGAACGUUAACCAUAGUCAAACCGGGCGUUAACCCAACCAAUCAAAUCCACUUCUCUCUCCCUCUCGGAGUGAAAUGGCCGUGACGGAGGAGAAGCCGGCAUCCGACGGCGGAUGUUGGGGUUUCUUCAAGAUGCCGUUCCGUCAUUCCGGCGGCACCAGCAGCUCCGCCUUCACCCUUCCUUCUCCGUCUGGAGCUUCUGCUUCUGCAUCUUCUAGUGUCGAGUCAGAAUCGGCAUGCCACUCCUUCAGUGUCGCAAAGUCGUUUCUCCCCACGAAGCGCCGGUUGAAGCUUGAUCCGGCGACUAAGCUCUAUUUCCCUUGUGAGUUUCUUGAAAUCUCACCUGAUCGCAUCGCUUUUGCUCUUUGACUUUGUUUUCUCUGAUCUGACUUUGUUCUUAGGCCAUCAAUUUUGUUGGAAUUGGAAGUUCUGCGUUAUUGAGCUGAUGCGGGUUCUUUGUUAAGACAACAUUUUGAUCCAUUAUUUCUGGAACUACUAAUUUUACAAGUAGAAAUGGACAUGUUACGAACACCACUAAAACCCUUCUGAUUUUGGAUUCAAGCUCUCUGAGGUGAAAGAAUUUGGUAGAUUCUUCUCAAAUAUUUGGGCAAGAUGUAAGAUUUUUCCCUAGUUGAUUCAUAUUUUGAGAAUGAUCUUGUUCUUCAUCUGGGGAUUAUGAGUGAUGUUUUCCUUAUUUGGAAUCUGCCUCUGCCUUUAGCUGGAACUUGGAAGAUUGAUCAUUGCUUGCAACUGAGGAUUAUCUGGUCAUAAUUAGAAUUUUAAAGAGCACUGAACCAUUUCUACACUUUGUCUGAAGAUGAGCCGGUAAGAAUACAAGCAAAUCUCAUGUGGCUUUUAAGGUUCAUUCUGAAUCUAAAUGACUUUACCCUCAAUUCCAAUUGUGAAGUUUAUGUGAAUUCCUUCCUUGGACUAAACGGGUGUGCAAGUUUUGCACAAAUUUCUUUAGUAUUCUGAUCUGGAAAUGGUCUUCAUUUGGUUUCUUCAGUUUCAAACAACCGCACCAAAGAGUUGCUUCAUGCGGCCACCUGGUGCUAUUCUUGCUCCUGGGGAGACGAUUAUUGCAACUGUCUUCAAAUUUGCCGAGCCUCCUGAGAGCAGUGAAAAGGAUAUGGAUCAAAGGGGCAGGGUGAAUGAAGUUCAAAAUCAUGAGCCUGAAGGUGAAAGGCCCCAUGGACCAUGUGCCUGAGCUGAAACUGGAGGAAGAAGGUCAGACUCUGAAGGGUAUAUAUAGUGUAUGCAAAUGUUCCUUAAUUUGAGAUUAAAGGGAAAUUCAUCGAGCAGCUCAUAGCCUAGAUCGCCACAUUUCAUGGUGUUGCAAUCGAUAUUACCUCUUUUUGUUUGCCAUCUUUCAAUGGGUGGACGUUUCUUGUAGCAACGUAAAGAGAAGGCAUACGUCAUACGUGGGAUGGGAUAUUGGACAUAAUGUUUCAUAGGUAUAGUAUAUAUUUAUAGAUAGAACGAAAUCGAAUUGACGCAGAUGCUGAAGUUGAGGCACGCAAGAGACGGCCGGAAGAUGCUUCUGGUCCAAAGAUGAUAGUAGGAGGGCUUGCAGUUGAUAAAGACAGCGUAAAGAUGUAUAUGUUUUUUCAAUCAUAUAAAAUACGGGUUCUGUAAUUGAUACGAAUACGAUCAAUAGUAUACAAGCCUCUCAGUAGGAAUAAAUAAUAAUCUUAAAAAAAGGGAACAUUUCUUU